GUUAGAUUGGAUACCGCCUGAUUCAUGAAUGAAGACACAAUUUUAUUGAAAAAGUCACAUGAAAAACAAGCUGUGUUUGAGAAUAUGCUAACAGUUCAAUAAUGGAUAAAAAGUAAAAAAACAAGGCAGAAUCACAUGGGAUUUUCCCUCCAGUAUUUAUUGCCAGAACCUGGUCAAGCUCCUCCAGGAGACGCUUCGAAGAUUGGGUCUGCCUGGAGUUUUAAUCUCACAGAGUUGCCCAUGCCGAGUUAGUGACAAUUUUUCAACUACAGAUCCUGUUUUCCUACCGUGGCAUUGCUUCCUGAGGAAGUUUCUACUCUUCAUUCUUCAGUAAGGUAUCUACAGACAAGAAGUGGAAUCAAUUAUCAGAAUUAUCAAGAAUGAUUGAGCCUGUUCAGCAGAAGGAGAUGAGACUGCUUUUAUAUAAUCAUGGGAAGGAAAACUAUGUUUGGAACUCAGGUGAUCCCUUGCUAUUUAUUAUCUUUCCAAUGAAAUGAAUGAUAACGCCAGGUAAGCCACUGAGACUAGUGGAGAUGAUAGCCAAGGGCAAAGGAGAUUAGAAUGGUUAGCGGAGAAGAGUGGUGAGGAGUGCCAAUUACCUCCUAAGACUCACUGCAGUAGUGAGCACUGUAGUUAUUUCCAGUACCUUCCUCCUUUAAAAUUUUCCCUAAGAGCGGUCCCCUAGAAAAUUGGAGGGGAUGCUGCCAGAAUGUGUACGGAAUAAGGAACACUGUACAUAUAUUAAGAAAGAUCAUGAGAAAGUUGGAUAAAUUAACUGAUUAUGAAGGCUGAAAGAUGUAGUAGAGCCUGCAUAUUCUUGCCUGUUCCAGGAGUCCUUGAAUGGACAAUCCUUGCUCUGGCGCCCCCGUUAGGUUGCUAAGAAUUUGUACUAUCUGCAUCAUGACCUAAAUCGCUCCAUGCCCAAACCUGCUAAUCAUGUCCCUGUUAUCUUUCAUGGGCAUGACUCUCCCCUCCUACCCCCCCAGCAUAAACCUCUUGUAUUCCUAACUUCAUCUCAGUGUCUGCUUCUCCAGGGACACUGAAUAUAAUAGCUAUAAUGAAAGUCUGUAUGGAUUUUAAUUUCAUAAAUUCCAAGGACCUUUUGGAAACUAGUUUCACAUACUAUCCUCACUUAGGAUCUGGAACUCAUGUAGUUUGCUUUGUCCACCUAUACCACAUCCCUUCAGGAAGCAGAGGUAAUAGUCUUAAUUCUGAUAAACCUUAUAUAUCUAUGGUCUUGAACUGGCAAGACUAAAAUUCUCUUCUAUUAUAAAAAGUAGCUUUUGACAGAAUAUGCAAUCUGUUCCAACAUAUUAUUCAGUAAGAUUUUGAAAUGUAAUUCGUCACCACCAUUCAUAACUAGUAUUAAUAAUUACAGAACAAUGUAGGUGAGAAGUAGGAGUAGGAGUUUUGAAGCUUUGUGAAUAUGAUUAAUAUGAAAAGUGUUUUAAAAACUGGCUGAUCGCAAUUUUCUUAUUCUUGGUAGUGUAAGUGGGUGAUUUUUCUUUCUAAUCCCUCCUUUUGUAUUGCUUCAUUUUAUUAAUUUAGAAAGGGCUCACCAUUUUUGUUGAAUUAAGGGAAUUAAAAUCCCUUUGAGGUCAGUCAGUUAAUGUGUGAUCCCAAGAGUCAUAGUUAAACAUUACACACACACAGCCUUAAAAU